CAGUCGUAGGCGUCAUUCACAGCGCGUUCCCCUCCGUGGAACGGUGGCAGCACUCUCGAAGAACCGCGCUUCCGCAUAGACCUUCCCCUCCCCCCUCUCCCACACCAACCCACCUCCACCUACGUACAGCGCCAUAAAUAAACACGAGUCUUACUUCCGGCAGUGUAGAUUGAGCGCGGGCUGGCUGCUGCGCCGUUUUGGCGCCAUGUCCGAAGGCUCUGCGCCGCAGCCUCCCAUUCCAGCCUCUUGGGUGCACACCGACUUACAGAAGCUACGACUGCGACGUGAGAGAGUCACCGUGAUCAUGCAUCUCAAGGAGCUGGAGGAUCAUCGGCGGUAUGUGGAAUCGCAGCUUGGCGCCGUAGAGCAACGCACCAGCCGUCAACGCUCUCGUAUAGAGCAGCUGACCAAGGAGCUGCAGAGCCUGACGGCGGAGCUGGCGCCGGAGCUGACGCUCCUCGAGGAGGGUCACCGCAUUGCUGAGGGGAUGCGAAACCAGCUGCACUACCAGAAGAUCAUCUGCCGAGCCUCCUCCUCCUACAGCGGUGAAGUUUCUAGCUUAUCGGCUGCAAACGGCGCAGGCACCGAGGAUCCGCGCACCUCCAUCGCCUGCCCGCUGUCGGUGCACGGCCUCUCUCUCUUUCCCCGCUGCGUUGCCAACGCUGCUCGACCGCAGGCCGCAGAUGUGGAUGCCUUUCUGCAGCGCUGCGCACCGCUCUUUCAGUGGAGUGAGGAGGAGCAAGCGGUGAAGCCGCCGUUCUUCUUCGAUGAGCCCUGCCUCAUGGAGCGCGGCACUGAUGGGACGCUGAGUGCACCCGAGGAGAGUGGCCGCCGCGAUGCAGCAGUGUGCCGCAACGCGGCAUGCCCGUACUGGCACCGCAAUCAGCUUACCCACGUCAAGAUGGCGGUCAUGGUCUUUCUAGACUCCGUGCGUUGCCAUUCGGUGCUCGACGAGCAUCUGUGCGCCGUCACCCACGCGACCGCCCGCCUGGCGCGUCAAGUGCAUCACGCGGACUCCAUCUCGCUAGUAUGUGCCCUGCUCUGUGAGGUGCUGCAGACUUUGAUAGCGACUGGGCUGCAUGUGAGGCUUCUCACGGACAAGCAGUCGACACGUGCGAUGAUGAGCGCACCCACUAUGAAGACGACGGACGCGCAACGCGCUGCACCUGCCCGCGCCGCACUUCUGCGCAGCGCCGAAGAGGUGGAGCGCUGGAGCGCUGUCGAGCAGCAGCAACAGCAGCACUCUGCCAGCACCGACUCUUUAUCGGUCGCGACUGCAGCUGCUGCGCAGUUCCAGCUGCAUCCGAGCUCCUUGUCGUGGCGGUGCAUGCUGUCCGCCGUGGAGGACGUCGCGCAGCGGCGCUGGCUUGGACGUCAAGGCGUGGUCUUGUUUCCUAGCUCGCCAGAGUUGCAUCUGCAGUACGUGCUCGCAGUGCUGAGCAGCGGCGGCAGCGCCGCUGAAGUGCUCGAGACUUGUCUGGCAUCCUGCCGCACACUUUCUGCUCAGGCGGCAGCCUCUGUAGUGGCGGGUCUGGACUGUGGGCAGUACGCCACCAGGGUGGCACGCCAUGCUGCGUACUUGCUUGCUCGCGUGUUUGUGCACGUGGCGCAGACGGACACGGCCGCAGCUUUGGCGUUUCUGGCGCCUCUUUUGAGCUCCGACGCGGAGGCAGGCGUGGCUGCCCUUCUCCUCCCGUUGGCGCGUCAGAAUUUGACGCUGCUGAUGGUGGCGCUGCGCCGCACCGGCCACCUACGCUACACCAACUUCCUCCCUCUCGCCGCCAUCUCCGACAUAGCCCUGGAGCUCGCAUCGCCGGAUGGCGCUAACCCGUCAGAGAGCGGCCGUGACGCACUCUAUGCAGCAUUGAAGCUUGUCAUGUCGUACAAGCGUGACCGCUUCGAUGCGCAGCUGGUGAGCUGCUGUGACGCAGCGCUGCAGAUUAGCGUCCUGCGAACCUUCUCCUACCGACUGGCCUACAUCGAGCGCGUGGUGGAGAAGACGGUGCCGGAGUCGCCGCUAUCGCAGGGCGUUCUGUACAGCGAGUACGUGGAUGCGGUAGCUGAGCAGCAAUCAGUGCAUGCUGCAGCCCUCGUCGCCGACGCUCUCGCGCGCCAUGAAGGGGCUUCCUGUACGCUGACGCUGCUACUGCGAGGACGCCUCCGCAUGUGGGGGGCGUCCCUCUCAUCGGACGCGCGAAACGCCGUGUCGGCGUUCUGCGCGGCGAACCAACUCUCCCUCGACGAACUCGGUGACCCGGUGCACCUUCGGGGUGCCUUCCAGACGCCUUGUUUCUCACGUUCUCCACCUGUCGAGUGGGUAUGCGCGUACGCGCUCCACGUGAUGCACACAAUGGGUGGCGAGGCUGCCGCAGAGUCUGUGUGGGCGAGGAUGGACGCGCUGCCGGUGGAGUCGCUGAUGCAUGACGUAGUGGCUGUCGCUUUUUUCUUUCACAUUCUCCUGCAGCUCAGCGGGGAGGCUCGCAGUGCGACGCUCUUCCACUGCACCGUGAACCGCUGCCUUUCCCUCUUUCUCGAGGCGCACCUCCUCAGCUGGAGCGCACUGGAGGGGUCAGCGGAGAAUAUGAUCGGGCUGCCACACUAUCUGAGUCUCUGCAUCUACCAAGAGGUGCCGCUGCUGCUGGGCCCUGGCAGCGACGACACGUUUGCGUGGCGCUGCCUUGUCCUGGAGGUAGCGGCCCGCUUGGGUGUUCUCCAUCCUCUUCUGAUGACCGACUAGGCCCCGUAGGGUGGUCUUUGCGUGUGCACACGUGUCGGCCGUACCGCGUUCGUAAGCGCUUCCGUCACAAUGCAGUUGCACCAAUGCCUUCACACCCUGGAACAGAGGUUGGAGGAGGGGAAGACCCUUGCGCGAUGACCCGCCUCCACUCCAUCUUCUUUGCGCCGACCUACGCUGCCUGUGCCUGCGUGCGUGCGCCAGUUCUUUCUCAGCUGGACACUUUCUCGAUGGGCACGUGCGAUGCACUGCUGCCCAGACGCAGACGUGGCAGCGGCGGUUCGCGCCGAGCACGUCGGGCCCUCCACGCUCAUGCGGCAUAGCGUCUUCUGUUCAGUCUUCAUGUUGUACGUUUCCAUCUCUGCAUCCCGCCUUCCUUGUUGUUCUCUCGCACAUAUCUCCGCGCUCUGCGUGUCGUGCC
rnacentral:misc_RNA from 1 species